AUGAUACUUGUGAACAUGUCCAAGACAAGUCUCUCACUGAAGAAGUUUUGCUUGCGUAAAAAGAAACAGAGCCCUCAGAAAGCUGAACAGAGGCACCCAGAGGACCGUGAAUACUGGCAGGACUCCUCAAGAUUGAUUUGUGCAGUGUUGGAAGAUGAUAGUAGGGACUUUAAAUCCAUACUUCAGGAGGCCGGAAAAUCAUCUAUCUGGAGUGAAGAGAUGGCAACAGGUCACCAAAUGGGUGCAGCCAGCAGCAUCACUGCAGAAGGUGGAAGCCUGACCUCCAAGCACAUCAGUUUUCACAGCAGUUUCUGACUUGUGACUCUGAGAAACAAUUCAAACAUCUUGUUUAUUCAAAUGAGAGGCUGUGAAAUGACCUGACAUCUUUCCUGGAUGCGGUUUCAGGUAUUCUCAUAGAAAGUACCAUGUAAUGACACUCAAAUCUCUGACAAAAUCUACUAUGAUUGUCCUUCCAACAUCCUUGGGGAUUGGUUGAUAGCAAAGGCAAAGGAAGAAAUUACAGAUUCAGGUCUUCUUUCUUUUUUUUUUUGCCAUGUUUUUGCAAACUGGUAGAUUGCAAGAAAUCAUUUUCUCUGCACAAAAUACUCGGCUCCUAAUCCUUCCUAUUGCUCUGUGUUGCUGAAACAAGUGAGAGUCAGACAACCUCCUUCUGUACCUCUUCAGUCUGGCCCUUGCAUUUCUGUCCUGAUUUUAAUCCAAAACACUUUAGGCCCUCUAAAAAACUACUGCUGCUGCAAAGGAUUUUAUGGCCUGGCAAAAUAUCAGCAUUGGUAUCUUCUAAAACCACAUAUAAAAACUCACAGAUCCUAAAGCUCUUAAAGACUAUGGAAACAGAGUAAUUAAAAUCAAAACACUGGUGGUGAUUAAUUAUGCCUGGAUUAACAAAAUGCCAGCUUUUGAUAAUUGUCCUGGGGGUCAGGAGGAAAUGAAUCAGCAGUGCCCUGCUGGAAGUGGCUCAGGCCACCGUGGUCCUCAAAGCCCAGAGGAUGAGGCUGGGGUUGAAAAUGGUUCCCAUUUUCUCAGCUGGCAGGAGGAGGGAGCAGCAGCGGUGGCUGGCGGUGCCCCUGAUGGCUGGCAGUGGUGAACUGCGGGAUGGGCAUGGCAGGGGCACCCUGUACCUCCUGGCAGGCUGCAGUGGAGAAGCUGGGCGAGAAAGGGUUUCAAAGACUGUGUGAAGGAGAGGUAUCAGCUGGGCCAGCCAGGAGCCCGGGGAGGUCAGCAACAAAAGCAGAGCCGAGGCAGCAGUUCCUCCCACUGCACCAGGGCAGCGAGGCAGGCAGAGGGCAGCCACUUCCAGGGAAACACCAGGGCUCUGCCUCAGGGUAGGCUGCAGCAUACCCAGAACAAUGAGUUGCCCCAGACUCUGAAGUAUUUGGAUUCCUCCAAACAAGUUCUCAAAGCUUCUCUUUGGAUCUUACUUACGGAGAAAAUUGAUGGUGCAAAUGGUAAAAUACACCAAUUUUAAACCAGCAAUCCCAAAAUAUUCAGUGACCUUCACGCUUGCAUUACUGCUCGUGUAGCAUCGUACUUAUCACACUGUGGCCUGAACAUCUUGUUUCCCAUAAUAACUCAACGCAGUGAACUGUGGUCAGAGAGAAAUAUGACCCAGGACUGGCAACAAAUAUAACACACAACCCUGGCACAUAGCUCCUUUCCUACCUCAUCCUUGGCAGCAUCACUGGUCACACAUGCUGGGUCGUAAGCCCCAGGGCUAUUGAAGCUGUUCCUUCACUUCUGAGCAGGUCCUCAGCUGGUGCCAGUUCAAAAAGCUCCAUAAACAAAGCCUACUCACACAUUGAGCCCAUUCCUCUGAAUUGAACUUGGGGAUUAUUGUUAAUUAGGCUGAAUGGAUAUUACAUGUAUGUUUUUAUUAUUAUUAUUAUUUGCUUAUUUUAGAUUAUUAAAAAAAAAAAAAAGUAAAAGAAGUAAAAGUAAGAAACCCAAGAGUGCACUCAAGCUAUGUAGAACUUGGAUUGAACAAGAUAAGAGGGUGGGAUUCACUGGCAGGGACAAGAACUGAGAGCAAGGGGCCCUGGGUUGCCUUCUGGGUGCUGCAGGGUCAUAGACAAGGCUCUUCUCACUGGCAUAUGGACUUUCUGCUUCUCCCCUGGGGUGCUAUGUCUUUUAGUUCCCUUUGGGAGCAGAGCCCCUGGUGAGCUGCAUUUACACCCCACCAACUACAGUGGGGUCCAGAUGAUGGGGUGUGGGGCGGUUCCAAUGUCAUGUAAAUCAUCAGCUGAAAGAGGGGAUUUAAAAACAAUUUAUUUUGUGGCUGGUACUUCAAAAUACUUUACAAGUCAUAUCAAGAGGAUUUUUAAAAAUCUUUCUUUAUGAGUUGCUUUCUUUUCCAGAAUAGUAUCCUUGGAAAUGACCCACUGGUUAAAAACAAAACAAUAAUAAAGCCCUGUGAAGAACAGCA
rnacentral:lncRNA from 1 species